rnacentral:rRNA from 1 species
AUUGAACGCUGGCGGCAUGCCUUACACAUGCAAGUCGAACGGUAACAGGUCUUCGGAUGCUGACGAGUGGCGAACGGGUGAGUAAUACAUCGGAACGUGCCCGAUCGUGGGGGAUAACGAAGCGAAAGCUUUGCUAAUACCGCAUAAGAUCUAAGGAUGAAAGCAGGGGACCGCAAGGCCUUGCGCGAACGGAGCGGCCGAUGGCAGAUUAGGUAGUUGGUGGGAUAAAAGCUUACCAAGCCGACGAUCUGUAGCUGGUCUGAGAGGACGACCAGCCACACUGGGACUGAGACACGGCCCAGACUCCUACGGGAGGCAGCAGUGGGGAAUUUUGGACAAUGGGCGAAAGCCUGAUCCAGCCAUGCCGCGUGCGGGAUGAAGGCCUUCGGGUUGUAAACUGCUUUUGUACGGAACGAAAAGACUCUUUCUAAUAAAGAGGGUCCAUGACGGUACCGUAAGAAUAAGCACCGGCUAACUACGUGCCAGCCGCCGCCGUAACAC